UUCAUCUCUUUCACAUAUUAGCCAUGUUCUCUUCCACUACAAGUGUGAAGUGCAUCGUGUGUGCUAGCAUGCUCUCUAGUGAAACAAAACAAAGACUAUCAAACUUCAACAGAGUCCUCACUAUGAGCCGUUAAUCAGAAUCAGGCUUAAACACUUCUUUACUAAAGAGUCAACUACAAUUUAGGGUCACUAAAGAAUUCCUAUGCCUCUCCUAUUUUUUUU
rnacentral:lncRNA from 1 species